rnacentral:rRNA from 1 species
UACGAAGGGGGCUAGCGUUGUUCGGAAUUACUGGGCGUAAAGGGCGCGUAGGCGGUGUGUCAAGUCAGGCGUGAAAGCCCCGGGCUCAACCUGGGAACCGCGCUUGAGACUGGCACGCUAGAGUUCGGGAGAGGAUGGUGGAAUUCCCAGUGUAGAGGUGAAAAUUCGUAGAUAUUGGGAAGAACACCGAUGGCGAAGGCAGCCAUCUGGACCGACACUGACGCUGAGGCGCGAAAAGCGUGGGGAGCAAACAGG